GCCAGGUGUGGUGGUGUACACCUGUAGUCCUAGUUACUUGGGAGGCUGAGUUGGGAGGAUGGCUUGAGCCCAGGAGGUGGAGGUUGCUGUGAGCCAAGAUCAUGCCACUGCACUCUAGCCUAGGCAACAAAGCCAGACCCUGUCUCAA
rnacentral:SRP_RNA from 1 species